AUACUAAAAAUCUGUAUUUAUCCUGCUCUUUUUCAGCAUUUUCACAAAAUUGCUGCUAAAAAAGUCCUUCCAGAUAGACAGAGAAAACAGGCACAUUUUUCUGGUAAAUCAUGGGAGCAGCUACCUUGUGCGAGUGCAGUGCUUUCAACAUCUUGGAGCUGUGAUUGAUAAGUUACAGGAGACUUUUGUCCCUAGUAAAAACUAUUCAGAACACCAUCAUACAGGUGCUUUGCUUGGCUACAACCCGUCCCGACUCCCAAUGAAUCUAGUUAUAUAAGGACCUCAGGACUGACCCAGCUGUUAAGUGUGUUGAAGUGGUGA
rnacentral:lncRNA from 1 species